GGGCCGGUAGCUCAGCCUGGUAGAGCAUCUGACUUUUAAUCAGGUGGUCGCGAGUCCAAAUCUCGCCCGGCCCG
rnacentral:tRNA from 1 species